rnacentral:rRNA from 1 species
UAUGGGCGAAAGCUGAUGCAGCGAUCGCCGCGUGGAGGGGAUGACGGGCCCUUACGGGGUUGUAAACGCUCUUUCAGCAGUGACGAAGACGCAAGUGACGGUACACUGCAGAAGUAAGCACCGGCUAACUACGUGCCAGCAGCCGCGUGUAAUACGUAGGGGUGCAUAGCGUUGUACCGGAAUUACUGUGGCGUAACAGAGUUACGUAGGGCGGUUUAGCUCGACGAUCGUUAUGUGCAAAAGCCAGCAGCUCAACUGCUGGUCUUGCAGGCGAUACGGGCAGACUUGAGUACUGCAGGGGAGACUGGAAUUCCCUGGUGUAGCGGUGAAAUGUCGCAGAUAUCUAGGAGGAACACCGGUGGCGAAGGCGGGUCUCUGGGCAGUAAACUGACGCUGAGGAACGAAAGGCGUGGGUAGCGAUACAGGAUUAGAUACCCUGGUAGUCCACGCCGUACAACGGUGGGACGCAAUAGGUGUGGGUUCGCUUCCACGGAAUCCGUGCUCGUAGCUAACGCAUUAAGCGACCUCCGCAUGGGGAGUAC